rnacentral:rRNA from 1 species
AUUGAACGCUGGCGGCAGGCCUAACACAUGCAAGUAGAGCGGAGCGGCGGACGGGUGAGUAAUGCCUAGGAAUCUGCCUGGUAGUGGGGGAUAACGUCCGGAAACGGGCGCUAAUACCGCAUACUAUAAGCGAGGCCUAGGUCGGAUUAGCUAGUUGGGGGGGUAAAGGCCUACAAAGGCGACGACCCGUAACUGGGCCGGGAGGAUGAUCAGUCAAACUGGAAAUGAGACACGGUCCAGACUCCUACGGGAGGCAGCAGGGGGGAAUAUUGGACAAUGGGCGAAAGCCUGAUCCAGCCAUGCCGCGUGUGUGAAGAAGGUCUUCGGAUUGUAAAGCCCUUUAAGUUGGGAGGCGUUACCAACAGAAUAAGCACCGGCUAACUUCGUGCCAGCAGCCGCGGUAAUAC